GAUGAACGCUGGCGGCGUGCCUAAAACAUGCAAGUCGAGCGAACGGACGAGAAGCUUGCUUCUCUGAUGUUAGCGGCGGACGGGUGAGUAACACGUGGAUAACCUACCUAUAAGACUGGGAUAACUUCGGGAAACCGUAGCUAAUACCGGAUAAUAUUUUGAACCGCAUGGUUCAAAAGUGAAAGACGGUCUUGCUGUCACUUAUAGAUGGAUCCGCGCUGCAUUAGCUAGUUGGUAAGGUAACGGCUUACCAAGGCAACGAUGCAUAGCCGACCUGAGAGGGUGAUCGGCCACACUGGAACUGAGACACGGUCCAGACUCCUACGGGAGGCAGCAGUAGGGAAUCUUCCGCAAUGGGCGAAAGCCUGACGGAGCAACGCCGCGUGAGUGAUGAAGGUCUUCGGAUCGUAAAACUCUGUUAUUAGGGAAGAACAUAUGUGUAAGUAACUGUGCACAUCUUGACGGUACCUAAUCAGAAAGCCACGGCUAACUACGUG
rnacentral:rRNA from 1 species